rnacentral:rRNA from 1 species
AUGGCGAGCAGGACGGUGGAUGUCACCCUUGUCUCCGCGAGGGAUCUCAGGGACGUCAACCUCGUCUCCAAGAUGGAGGUCUACGCGAUCGUCUACAUCGCCGGCGACCCCAUCUCCCGGGAGCGGGUCCUCGCCGACCGCACCGGCGGCCGCAACCCCACCUGGAACGCCACUGUCCGCGUCACGGUCCCAGCCUCCGGCUCCGGCAGCGGCGCUCUGCGCGUGCUCCUCCGCACAGAGCGCCCCCUCGGCGACCGUGACGUGGGCGAGGUGAUCCUCCCGCUUACCGAGAUCCUAGCCGGCGCCGGCGACGAGCCAACUGGCGCCACGCAAGGCGCCUACAAGGUGCGCAAGGUCGGCUCUAGCAAGGUUCACGGCGUGCUCAACCUCUCCUAUAAGCUCGGAGGAGUCAUCCACCCACCCGCCGGCCAGUACCAGCAGGUGGGAGCGACGGGGUACCUGGCGGCAGCCGCUGCGCCGUACGCGUCUGCUCCGCCGCCGGAGCAGCUCAGCUACCCGUACCCGUGCCCACCCCCGACAAUGGUUCGGCCGCUGCGCAUCAGCAGCCGGUAA